CUGGCAGGGAGGUAGCAGUUCUCCAAUGUCUGCAGUGAAGGCAACCUAUGUUUUAAAAUAAUGGAACACUGCUGGAUUGGUGGUGCAGUGGCUUUGUGAUCAUCACAAAGGCCAGCCAAUCAACACCUUGCACAGCAGGCUUUUGCUGGAAAUAGAACAGGUUGCUCCCGAGCUUUAUUCUUUGAUCUAUGGCCAAGAAAGGACAAGUGUAGAUCUGCAGCAGGCUCCCUGUCAAGAAGCAUACAUCUAUAGGGUUUUAAAAAACCUGAUGGAGAAGGGUUUUUCAAAGAGCCCUCAAGACAUUUAUUUCAUCAAGGCUUUGAUCAGCUUUCAACCCUAUUUAAAGUGAGCAACAAAGCCCCGCCUCCUAUAAUGAAACAGACCAGACUGUCUCACCCAAGGUUAUAUUUUAGAGCAAAAGGGUUACAUAGGGCAGCCUUAAACAAUACAGCAUCCUUCAGAACUUGACUCAUUCCUGUAUGAAGUGUGGACUAGACACACCCAAGAGCAAACAGAGCAGAAUUUACACCCCAAAGAAUGAUUUUGUGUGCAGAGGUGCCUGACCUGGCCCGUUAGGCUGCCUGGGCCUAGAGUUUUGUCAUGACAGCCAGUGGGAGGAACAGCAGGGAGCUUCAUGCUACAGAGCAGCAAGGAAGAGCCAGGCAAAGCCCUACAGAUUCAAGCUGCAGAGAGAGAGGCGGGAAAGGAGUCAAGUGAGUAUGGAAAACAGAUCCUUUUAUGACACACCGACACCAACAGAGGACUUAGGAGAGAAGUGGGUUUUCUGUCAUUUGAACCGGGAGAUGGAGAUGUCCAUCUAGGUGAGGAGAACGAAGGACAACUUGGCUCCUACUAUCAGUCCUACCAAGACUCAGAAGACAAGAUUUCCAGCCGCCUCACCAGCACCACUGCCCAGAAGUAAACACAGAAGGGUUCCUGUUCCAUUAGGUUGAAAGGCCACAGAUCUCUUCAGGCAGCCUAGAAUCUCUCCCUCAAGAAAAGGGCUUCUGCAAAUGAAAGGCUUUGUCCAAGGUGGCUGACUAGAGCUGCUCCUGUCCUGCUGGGGGCACAGCCCGGCAGAGCUCAGCGCUGUGAUAAUCUUGCUGCUUCAUCACCUCUCUCGCAUCACAGAGAAGCACACAGGAGGGUUGGAGACCACAGCAGCACACAAGCUGGGUGUUUUCACAGGCAAGGCUUAAAUAAGCUUCUCUCUAUUGACAAACGCAAAGCCUGCACUGGUGAGGAUGUACAUUUGAUUUUCUUUCACAUUCCAUCCUGCAUUAGCAACAUUCACACAUAGCAUAAGUAGUGCUUGAGAAGGGGAGGAGAGGGCAAUCCCCAUCUGUCUUAAGGGGCCACGUUUAUUAUAAGCCACCUUCUAACUCAAAACAGAUUUUGAAAUAUGGUGCAGAAAGGUAUUUAGAAGGGUGGGGCUGUCUUUGUCAGAUGUGUGAAGAGGACUGAGAAAGUGGUGGGGUUUUAUAUACAUGAGUUGAAGUACACACAGAGAGAUAAGAUAAGAGGGAUGCAAAAGGCUAGGAGUGGGAGUGUUAACCACAAGAGACAAAACAUAAUCUAAAUGAUAUCUACUGGAGCAUCUACUGCACAAAUUCAACACAAUUGCUACAGCCUCAACCAACAUCCCUUUGCUUUCAGGGAGCCACUCAUUUCCCCUUUAAAAACCAAGAGGCAUGCUGCCAGAUGCGUUCACAAACUAUCACUACACAAAUUUUAAAAAAUCAUAAUUAGGUUUUAAAAAUAAAUAAUAAAAAAGAAAAUGACCUGCUCUGCUAAGUUUCAGGAGAAAUAUAUUUUCCGGCUAGAAAGACAGGAAGCCUCUCUAAGUAUCCUUGUUGCUGGAAACUUGGUGCAUGGGUGGGAUACCACCGCUGGCUGAUCCCAGAAAAUGCAAGAGCAGAUUUCAGCAAAGACUCCAGCUAGCACAACGCAAUGCAGAUCUUGGCACGGAUGGCACGGCUUCAUCUCUCAGCCUCAUUUAAAAAAAAAAAGAAAUAAGUGAUGCAAGUUUCCAGCUUUUCUUGAUCCAGCUCUCCCUAUGUUAACAGUGUCUGCUGCUGAAGCUCACAGACUGACUUCCAGCAUUCAGAGGACAACCAACAUAUAUUAUGCAACACAGACAAUUUAGUGUAUGUCUGUAUGAUUAUGCAAAAUCAUUUUGAACAACAUCCUGCAUGCUCCACGCACAUGAAGUUGCCUUAUACUGUGUCAGGCUAUCAGUCCACCAAGCCUCAUAUUGGGAGUGGCUGUCAGAGGCACCCGACAGAGCUCUCCCUGAAAAGCAUGCACUCUUCCACUGAGUUAUGGCUGCUCCUCCUCUACAUAUUUUGAGCUCAUGAACCUCUAUUGGAAACAAGCAUUGAAGUGACCUGCUGCACCCACUGAAGAAGAUCAGUAAUGCAGCAACAUGGACAGAAGAAAGGAAGCAGUUCCCUCAGGGAUCUCAACUCCAGAAUAAGCCACCAGUCCUGUUGCAUCCUAGGCUUUGCAUAUUCAUCCCAGCACCACCAUUCAUACUUACUAGGGAUGUGCAAAAAAUUUCGGGCACAGAUCAAUCUGUGUCCGAAACGAGCAAUUUCGGGUGAUUCAGGACCGAACCAAAUCACGCCCAAUGUCCCCCGAUAUUUUUCGGGGCCGAGCCAAAUCACCCCUGAUUCGUGCCUGAAAAAUUCGGGUGAUUCGGGAUGACGUCUCUGAAUUUCCUGCCUUUUUGCCUCCAUUGAUUUGAAUGCAAAAAGGUCUGAUGUGAUGUCAGCUCGAAUUUUGGGUCCCAGAGCAAAAUAGUGGGGUGGGGUGGUAGUGCCUAAUGGAUGGAGGCUACCACCCAAAUUUCAGGGGAAUUGGGCAAAGGGCUGAUUUUUGGGGAAUUUUUGAAGUUUUAGUGUCUUUGGGGCAGUUCGGGGGCAUAGCGUGGGAUCUGGGCAAAAAGAGUGGGGUGGGGUGGUAGUGCCUAAUGGGUGGAGGCUACCACCCCAAUUUCAGAGUUAUUGGGCAGAGGGAUGAUUUUGGGGGAAUUGUUGAAGUUUACGCAUCUUUAAGGUUUUUCCCCAUAGAGAAGCAUUGAGGUGUCAGCAAAUGUAUAGCUUCACGUGGGGGGCAAAGGGGUGGCCUAGAGCAGUGUGGGGUUAGUGGUAGUGCCAGGUAGGGUCAAGGAAGCUACCUGAAUUUUUUCAAAGGAUUUGGGCAGAGGGAAUUGUUAAAGUUUACGCGUCUUUAAGGUUUUUCCUCAUAGGGUAUACAUGGAGCUUUCAGCAGCCCCAUAACUGCACUUGGGGGGUGCUGGGGUGGCCCGGAGCGAGUGGUAGUGUAGUGCACAUAGGGUGCCAACCACCCCCAUGGGUUUCUAACCCAUGGGGUUCAGGGUUCUGAACAACAGAACCCUGUCGGUUCGGGUCCCGAACCGAAUCACCGAAAACCCGAAUUGCACACCCCUAAUACUU